rnacentral:rRNA from 1 species
UACGUAGGUGGCAAGCGUUAUCCGGAAUUAUUGGGCGUAAAGCGCGCGCAGGCGGUUUCUUAAGUCUGAUGUGAAAGCCCACGGCUCAACCGUGGAGGGUCAUUGGAAACUGGGGAACUUGAGUGCAGAAGAGAAAAGCGGAAUUCCACGUGUAGCGGUGAAAUGCGUAGAGAUGUGGAGGAACACCAGUGGCGAAGGCGGCUGGCUAGACGAAUAUUGACACUGAUGCACGAAAGCGUGGGGAGCAAACAGG